CGCUGCAAGGAGAAGCUGCACGACGUGGACUUCUACAAGGCCCGCAUGGAGGAGCUGAGAGAAGAUAAUAUCAUUUUAAUUGAAACCAAGGCCAUGCUGGAGGAACAGCUGACUGCUGCUCGGGCCCGGGGCGAUAAAGUCCAUGAGCUGGAAAAGGAGAACCUGCAGCUGAAAUCCAAGCUUCACGACCUGGAAUUGGACCGGGACACAGAUAAGAAACGAAUUGAGGAGCUGCUGGAAGAAAACAUGGUCCUUGAGAUUGCACAGAAGCAGAGCAUGAACGAAUCUGCCCACCUUGGCUGGGAGCUGGAGCAGCUGUCCAAGAACGCAGACUUGUCAGACGCCUCCAGGAAGUCGUUUGUGUUUGAGCUGAACGAAUGUGCGUCCAGCCGCAUCCUGAAGCUGGAGAAGGAGAAUCAGAGCCUCCAGAGCACCAUCCAGGGGCUGCGGGACGCGUCCCUGGUGUUGGAGGAGAGCGGCCUCAAGUGCGGGGAGCUGGAGAAGGAGAACCACCAGCUCAGCAAGAAGAUUGAAAAGUUACAAACCCAGCUGGAGAGAGAAAAGCAGAGCAACCAAGAUCUGGAGACCCUCAGUGAGGAGCUGAUCAGAGAGAAGGAGCAGCUGCAGAGUGACAUGGAGACCCUGAAGGCUGACAAAGCCAGGCAGAUCAAGGACCUUGAGCAGGAAAAGGACCACCUCAACCGAGCCAUGUGGUCGCUGCGGGAGAGGUCGCAGGUCAGCAGUGAGGCCCGCAUGAAAGACGUGGAGAAGGAGAACAAAGCCCUCCACCAGACGGUGACGGAGGCCAAUGGCAAGCUCAGCCAGUUGGAGUUUGAGAAGCGGCAGCUGCACAGGGACUUGGAGCAGGCCAAGGAGAAGGGGGAGCGGGCAGAGAAGCUGGAGAGGGAGCUACAGCGACUCCAGGAGGAGAACGGGAGGCUGGCCAGGAAGGUGACCUCCCUGGAGACAGCCACCGAGAAAGUCGAGGCCCUGGAGCAUGAGAGCCAGGGCCUGCAGCUGGAGAACCGGACUCUGAGGAAGUCUCUGGACACCUUGCAGAACGUGUCCCUGCAGCUUGAGGGCCUGGAGCGUGACAACAAGCAGCUGGACGCAGAGAACCUGGAGCUGCGCAGGCUGGUGGAGACCAUGCGCUUCACCAGCACCAAGCUGGCACAGAUGGAGAGGGAGAACCAGCAGCUGGAGCGUGAGAAGGAGGAGCUGAGGAAGAACGUGGAUCUGCUCAAGGCGCUGGGCAAGAAGUCAGAGCGCCUGGAGCUCAGCUACCAGAGCGUGAGCGCUGAGAACCUCCGGCUGCAGCAGAGCCUGGAGAGCAGCAGCCACAAGACGCAGACCUUGGAGAGUGAGCUGGGCGAGCUGGAGGCUGAGCGCCAGGCGCUGCGGCGGGACCUGGAGGCCCUCCGGCUGGCCAAUGCACAGUUGGAGGGGGCCGAGAAGGACAGGAAGGCCCUGGAGCAGGAGGUGGCCCAGCUCGAGAAGGAUAAGAAGCUGCUGGAGAAGGAGGCCAAGCGGCUGUGGCAGCAGGUGGAGCUCAAGGAUGCAGUCUUGGACGAUAGCACUGCCAAACUGUCCGCCGUUGAGAAGGAGAGCCGCGCGCUGGACAAGGAGCUGGCCCGCUGCAGGGACGCAGCCGGCAAGCUGAAGGAGCUGGAGAAGGACAACCGGGACCUCACCAAGCAAGUCACCGUGCAUGCAAGGACACUGACAACUCUGAGGGAGGACCUGGUGCUCGAGAAGCUGAAGAGCCAGCAGCUCAGCAGUGAGCUGGACAAGCUGAGCCAGGAACUGGAGAAGGUCGGCCUCAACAGGGAGCUGCUGUUGCAGGAGGACGACAGCGGCAGUGACACAAAAUACAAGAUUUUGGAGGGCAGAAAUGAAUCAGCAUUAAAAACAACACUAGCCAUG
rnacentral:lncRNA from 1 species